rnacentral:rRNA from 1 species
AUCCUGGCUCAGGAUGAACGCUAGCUACAGGCUUAACACAUGCAAGUCGAGGGUAAUAUGAAGAAAGCUUGCUUUUUGAUGACGACCGGCGCACGGGUGAGUAUCGCGUAUCCAACCUGCCCAUAAGUAGGGAAUAGCCUUGCGAAAGUAAGAUUAAUGCCCUAUGGUUUCCAUUAAAGACAUCUGAGAUGGAAUAAAGAUUUAUCGCUUAUGGAUGGGGAUGCGUCUGAUUAGGUAGUAGGCGGGGUAACGGCCCACCUAGCCGACGAUCAGUAGGGGUUCUGAGAGGAAGGUCCCCCACAUUGGAACUGAGACACGGUCCAAACUCCUACGGGAGGCAGCAGUGAGGAAUAUUGGUCAAUGGACGGAAGUCUGAACCAGCCAAGUAAGCGUGCAGGAUGACGGCCCUAUGGGUUGUAAACUGUCUUUUUUAGGGGAAUAAAGUUAGCCACGUGUGGUUAUUUGCAUGUACCCUACGAAUAAGGACCGGCUAAUUCCGUGCCAGCCGCCGC